CAUGGCUCAGGAUGAACGCUAGCGACAGGCUAACACAUGCAAGUCGAGGGGCAGCACGGGAGUAGCAAUACAACUGGUGGCGACCGGCGCACGGGUGAGUAACGCGUAUGCAACCUACCUAUCAGAGGGGAAUAACCCGGCGAAAGUCGGACUAAUACCGCAUAAAACAGGGGCACCGCAUGGUGAUAUUUGUUAAAGAAAUUCGCUGAUAGAUGGGCAUGCGUUCCAUUAGGUAGUUGGUGAGGUAACGGCUCACCAAGCCGACGAUGGAUAGGGGAACUGAGAGGUUGGUCCCCCACACUGGUACUGAGACACGGACCAGACUCCUACGGGAGGCAGCAGUGAGGAAUAUUGGUCAAUGGGCGAGAGCCUGAACCAGCCAAGUCGCGUGAAGGAAGAAGGAUCUAUGGUUCGUAAACUUCUUUUGCAGGGGAAUAAAGUGCGGGACGUGUCCUGUUUUGUAUGUACCCUGAGAAUAAGGAUCGGCUAACUCCGUGCCAGCCGCAGC
rnacentral:rRNA from 1 species